rnacentral:lncRNA from 1 species
CCCUCACUUGGGGUUCAAAUUUACCUGGGCAUGUUUGGUGGGGGAUGGAACCACACCGUAGGUGCAAUUGUGUUCCAGAGAGAGAGGCGACAAUGGAGAAGAAGGAAUACACCAUGCUAGGCUCAGACGUGGGGCCUUGGGUGGGAUGUAGGCAGUGGCUCUUUGCACGGGGUGUGGCUAUAACUGGGACCUCCAGGUGGUGGCUCAUGGUUGCACUGGGGAAGUAAACUAAUCUAGGCAUAAAAGUUGAUGAAGCUGUAGCACCAGGAGUCCAAGCUGUGAAGGAAGUUGAGUCCUUCCUCCGCCAGCAGCAGACUGUGAGCUGCAGAGUCAAAUAUUGAGUCCACAGUCUUUCUGUCAAUCAGAACUUAUUUGUGUACAUAAACCACAGAUAAAACUCUCUGUGUACUAUCGUGGCAAUGCUUGGAGAUCCCUGUUCACCCAAGAAUCUCUUUAUUGGGACCAUUUAUCACAGUCAUUAUCAUUGACCACGUGAAUGAGAUAAUUAUUUUGUCUUCUUCCUGCAGGAUGGAAAGUUUCCUUUUGAGAGGAGAAAAAAAUGGUGAAAAGAAAAUUCUAGCAAAUAAAAAAUGAUUUGCAAGGCUUCUCCUGUACUUGCUAAGUAAGUAAGGGGGCUCUUUGGAUGAC